AACCCAUGAUGUGAACAAUCUCGCUAGAAUGCUUUGAAUUUGAUCCAAGCAUCUCUGAAUGAUUCUCCAGGUUUCUGUGUGAAUGUAGCAAUUUUGCUCCUCAAUCU